AGAGAGGGCGCUUAGUUUUUCAAGUUGGCUCCCUCCUUUCUUUUAGUCAAUUGUAGUCUCCUCUGCUGUUGUUUUCACAGCAGCCAGGCAGCACUAACAACUUCUCUCUCAGUUCCACACACAAGUGUAAUUUCUCCCCAAUUAGAGACUUCAUUUGGAACCUGCUGAGACAUCAGUAGUGAAUUGUUACCUGGUCCAUGAGUCGGAAUGCUGUAGGAACUUAAUAACCUGCAGUUAUCAAAUUGUACACAAGUUGCACACUUCUCAAACAAGAUGAUUCAGAACCAGUUGUCCAUUUCCUAUUCUCUAUGCUAUUAUCGCUGAUUCAACCAAGCGAUUUCAAGUUGUAACUUUUUUUUCUCUCCUUUGGUUGCUUAUUUUGUGACCUUGAAUGAAACACUGUAGUAACCGCAUAUUCCUUCCCUCCAAUCCUCAACAUGCUGAACAGCUAGGGUUAUGCUCCAGAAGUGGGUCAUCUGUUUGAGGGGCAGGAAAGGGCUAAUUUCCAAUUAUAUUUUGUGCAUUGAUCAAGGGAUGUUCGAGGAAUCAUUUAUCUUCAAAAGUUAUCCAAAAGUUAAACUAAUUUUAUCAUGCAUCUGCUUACAGGCUUUCAAUAUGCUUAAGGAAGAGAAAUAGAACCUGUGUUACACUGUUCAAAAACAUAAUGCCAUCAACUGUGACUUAAAGAUAGUCGACUUGAAGGCAUAUAACUUGAAAAAGAAUUCACUACUUGUGAAGUUAAGCUGCGCUCAUGCUUGCCUGUUCUAGCAUAGAAAAGCUCCCUACGACUGUGCAGCGGGGCUGCAUAUCUUCUUGUGCCCUUGAUCAGGGCCAAUUCAGUUGUUCCCAAUCCCAUAGUGGUUGUACAAAACCAUUAACCGUAUCCCAGUUGGCACUUCCUUCUGUCCCUGGGGCAUCAGCAUGAUCUCCUCUUGAGUAUGAAGUCUCAGGUGAGCUUGUGUUGUCCACCAUUCUAGUGUCUUGAGCAGCUGCUGUAGCAGCAUCACCUAGAAGCUGAGUGUCUCUUGCUGUAGCGUCUCUUGCUGUAGCUUCUAGUGGACGUCUGUCAAAUGCUCGAAAACUCCCUGAUAUUACAUAGACUCGGCACAAACUGAAUUCAUGUCUCAACUACACGAGCUUUCCCCUUAUAGAAGACCAUGGUUUUCUUCAGUCCAAUCACUCGGUUAUCGGACGAGUAAACAUAGCCAGGGGAGCCAGUGGCCUUCCAGUACCCAGAUGCUGUAGUGCGGCUGGGUCUCCCUCCUCUAGCUUCUCUUUCUUGUCUUGGUGCGAAGAAGAACCAUUGCUCAGUGUCUCCUUGACACCGUUCUCCUGCAAGCACUGCAUCACAUUGCAAGAAACAAACUUUAAAGUGCUAUUCAGCUUCUACGUGGUGCAUUUUUCAACACACCAUUAACUUCAUGAACAUAAAACAAACAAGUUUGAUUGAGAAGAAUUCCGUACUUGGGAGAUUGCAUGGCUCUAUGUUGUAAAUGUCGAUUACUGGGAUAACACGGUGUAUUUCCUGUCUCUUCCCUUCCAGCUUGUUAUGCAGAUAGAAGGAAACUAGCUCUUCCUCUGUUGGGUAGAAGCGAAACCCUGUUGGAAGUUCCUCCAUCCUUGUUCUUAUUGUUGUUGCCAUUGUGUUUCGUUAUGGUCUAAAUAUAUCCGCCAUGAACUAUAUAUUUAUAUAUAGGGAGAGAUGGGAGAUGCCGAGUGAAAUGAGAAAAAAAUGGCAGUGGCUUGUGAUUGGAGGAAACUUCCACGCGGUUGUAAAAAGAAGAUACUGGGUUUUGUCCUAUGAUACUUCUCCACUGGUCCAAAUACAAUUCUUCAUCCAAUGAAAGCUCAUCUUGAAAGAGUCAGCCACCCUUUUCUCCAGUGUGGUACUUGUCCGGGACUUAGUAGCUGCACCCUUUUGGAUCAGAUGAUUUCAACCAUAAAUUGUUUUAUGGGUAAGUGUUUUAAUGUUAUAUUAUUUAUUAAUAGACAAUUCAUUAUCGAACCCUUUUAGAGACGAUGGGCUGACUGUGGGGUUUGUACGUGCCAGGCGGACAAGGCUUUUUUAUUUGUGGCUGUGAUGUUAUAUCAAGGGCUGCCAAUUUAGGUUGGUGGCUAUGAACACGAUUAAGAUUAAUAAAUUGUAUUAAAAAUUUAAAUA